rnacentral:rRNA from 1 species
AGUGGCGGACGGGUGAGUAACGCGUGGGUAACCUGCCUCAUACAGGGGAUAACAGUUAGAAAUGACUGCUAAUACCGCAUAAGACCACAGCACCGCAUGGUGCAGGGUAAAAACUCCGGUGGUAUGAGAUGGACCCGCGUCUGAUUAGGUAGUUGGUGGGGUAACGGCCUACCAAGCCGACGAUCAGUAGCCGACCUGAGAGGGUGACCGGCCACAUUGGGACUGAGACACGGCCCAA